rnacentral:rRNA from 1 species
UACGGAGGGUGCAAGCGUUAAUCGGAAUUACUGGGCGUAAAGCGUGCGCAGGCGGUUUGUUAAGUCUGUUGUGAAAUCCCCGAGCUCAACUUGGGAAUUGCAAUGGAUACUGGCAGGCUGGAGUAUGGUAGAGGAAGGUGGAAUUCCCGGUGUAGCAGUGAAAUGCGUAGAGAUCGGGAGGAACACCAGUGGCGAAGGCGGCCUUCUGGACCAAUACUGACGCUCAUGCACGCAAGCGUGGGGAGCAAACAGG